rnacentral:rRNA from 1 species
AUUGAACGCUGGCGGCACGCCUAACACAUGCAAGUCGAGCGGAUGAAGGGAGCUUGCUCCUGGAUUCAGCGGCGGACGGGUGAGUAAUGCCUAGGAAUCUGCCUGGUAGUGGGGGAUAACGUCCGGAAACGGGCGCUAAUACCGCAUACGUCCUGAGGGAGAAAGUGGGGGAUCUUCGGACCUCACGCUAUCAGAUGAGCCUAGGUCGGAUUAGCUAGUUGGUGGGGUAAAGGCCUACCAAGGCGACGAUCCGUAACUGGUCUGAGAGGAUGAUCAGUCACACUGGAACUGAGACACGGUCCAGACUCCUACGGGAGGCAGCAGUGGGGAAUAUUGGACAAUGGGCGAAAGACUGAUCCAGCCAUGCCGCGUGUGUGAAGAAGGUCUUCGGAUUGUAAAGCACUUUAAGUUGGGAGGAAGGGCAGUAAGUUAAUACCUUGCUGUUUUGACGUUACCAACAGAAUAAGCACCGGCUAACUUCGUG